rnacentral:rRNA from 1 species
GUAAUGCCUAGGAAUCUGCCUGGUAGUGGGGGAUAACGUCCGGAAACGGGCGCUAAUACCGCAUACGUCCUGAGGGAGAAAGUGGGGGAUCUUCGGACCUCACGCUAUCAGAUGAGCCUAGGUCGGAUUAGCUAGUUGGUGGGGUAAAGGCCUACCAAGGCGACGAUCCGUAACUGGUCUGAGAGGAUGAUCAGUCACACUGGAACUGAGACACGGUCCAGACUCCUACGGGAGGCAGCAGUGGGGAAUAUUGGACAAUGGGCGAAAGCCUGAUCCAGCCAUGCCGCGUGUGUGAAGAAGGUCUUCGGAUUGUAAAGCACUUUAAGUUGGGAGGAAGGGCAGUAAGUUAAUACCUUGCUGUUUUGACGUUACCAACAGAAUAAGCACCGGCUAACUUCGUGCCAGCAGCCGCGGUAAUACGAAGGGUGCAAGCGUUAAUCGGAAUUACUGGGCGUAAAGCGCGCGUAGGUGGUUCAGCAAGUUGGAUGUGAAAUCCCCGGGCUCAACCUGGGGAACUGCAUCCAAAACUACUGAGCUAGAGUACGGUAGAGGGGUGGGUGGAAUUUCCUGUGUA